UGAGUUUGGGCCCGGGCUUAGCACGACCUUAUGCAUUUGGUCUCUACUAUAUAGAAGAGGUGUGGAGGAAUGACCAAGGGCAAAACAGUAAUUUUACACUAGUAAAAAUCGGUGUACCUGCACCUACCGGAGCUAUGUCGUUAGCGGUUAACCUAAUAAUUUUUAUUUUCAUUUGCUUUUGGAUUUUUUUUUUAAUAUUAUUAUUAUUAUGAUUAUUAUAUGUAUGUAGAUGACUGUCUGAUGUUUUAGUUGAUUUAGAUUGAAAAAUAAAUGGGGUUUAAUUUUUUUUUUUUGUUACAUAUUUAGUUUUUUCCCCCUCCAUAUGUGUGUUUGGUAUUUUAGUAGAUUUAGAUAGAAUAAUAAGUGGGGUUUAAUUUUCUUGAUUGGUUUUUACAUUCUGAGGAAGUUUUUAAAUGUGUGUUUGAUAUUUUAGUAGAUUUAGAUGAACAAGUAAGUGGGGUUUAAUUUUCUUGAACUUUUCUUUUACAUUUUUAGCUAUUUUUUUUUUUUCAUAAAUGAGUGUUUGAUAUUUUAGGUUGAAUCUUUUUUAUUUUUUAAAAAUAUUUUUUAUAUUAUACUGGAUUUAGAUGAAAAAAUAAAUAAGAUUUAAUUUUCUUGUUUUUUUUUUUCAGACCUAGAUGGACAGGAAGAGAUGAAGCUCAUCUAUUGUAUAACUGCUGUAGAAGAGAAGGCCAAGCCAUAAAAGGGCGUCAAGAUAGUAAAAAGAACCAACUUUAUUUUUGUUGACGUUCAAAAUUUUUGGACGAAAAGACCAAUAAUACCCCUUUAACUUCGCAAUGUAGAUAUACUUCUCGAUAAAAUGGUGAUACAUAGAUAUUCUCGUCGCUGACUAAUAAAUGGUUUGUUUGCAUAGAUAUUCUCGCCGCCGACUAAUAAAUGGUGUGUUUGCUCUAAAUUUAUUUUAAAUAUAGAGUAAUAUAUCUACUCUAGGUCACAAAGUUGACUAUAGAAUGUAUUACUUAUAUAUUCUCACCAUCUAAAAAAUGACACAUUUGCUCUAAAUUUGCUAUAAUGCUGAAUAUUUCUGCUCUAGUUCGCAAAAUUGAUGGUGGAGUGUGUAAGUAAAGUUGCAUGCAAUAAAUGUUUCAUCAGAUGAGAGCUUUUAGGAUGACUGGUUGAGUGAUGGAAUCCACAUAUGUUUGCAGUUUGUUAGUACUUUUGGUGUUUGUAAUUGUGUUUUCACUACAAUAAAUUUUUCUUCUGUGUGCUAUGCUUAGCAGGUUUUCCCUAAUUACCAACUUCUUAAAUUGUAUUUUCAUCGUUUUAAAUGUUAUGGUUGUUACUAUAGUAGUUCUACUUGGACAAUUCUUCAAUUGUUUCCUUGAAGAUCCGAUCCAAGCUUUUGGAGGGUGGUGGUGUUGACGUGACUGAAUAUGGACCGGAUUGCACACACCUCAUUUUAGAUAGAACGGUUUAUGAUGAUCCCAUAUGUGUAGCUGCUCGACGGGAUGGAAAAGUUUUAGUCACAAACUUGUGGGUUGAGCACAGUUUUGAUGUGGGAAUGGUUGUCGAUCACCUCUCUAUCAUGUACAGACUGAUGAGGAAUUUGGAUGGAAUCCCAGAGACUAAAUCUCUAAUGUUGUGCUUAACUGGAUAUCAGUGGCAAGACUGAAAUGAUAUUAUGGGCGUGGAUGCCGUGAAGCUUCGGGUGGUACAGUUACAGAUCCAAACAAAGCAAUGUUCAAAAAGCAGAGAAGAACAACAAGAUUGAUACAGAGGAUGAAAAUCUGUCUUUAGAUUCCACAAGAAACUCUUUUUCUCAAGCUCUUCAAGGGCAGUAAAUGGUGGUAAUCUGUUAGCCAAUUCCUCAUUUUCAAUCGGAGUGAUGACAAAUGAUGGUUUGUCAAUUCAAUGUGGAGGCAACCUGGGCAGUGGAAACUUUCAUGUGCUCACACAACUGCAUGGC